AACUAAGUUUGUUAUUGGUAUGAGCUUUUGUGUGCAUGCAGACUUCUUCUAUUUCAGUGUAUCUGAAGAAGUGUGCAUGCACACAAAAUCUCAUACCAGUAACAAACUUAGUUGG